CAUCCCCAGCCCAGCUCCAGGGAACUUUGCUCAGUGCUGCUCACAUCUACACCCUCUGUCACCUCAGGUUUCCCUUUGAGGUCCCCCAAACCUUACUAUCGUCCACAAGCCUGUGUAUGCUUCAUUUGUGUUACAACAUCCACUAAAACCCCAGUCAUGAGAAUAGAGAGAGAAACCCGAGAGUUGCUAAAGGGUUGGAACAUCCCAACCCCCCCCCACCUCCUAUUUGAUGUACUUUCUAUCUUGCUUUUCAGGAAAACGAGUGUGUGUCAGUAGGGGCGGGGGCGGGUAGUGGCAUUGCAAGACUAUUGUGAAAUAGUUUUCUCUGUCUGGCUGUUUCUGUUGGUUACCAAAAGAACUAAUCAAAGGGAGCCAGAGAGACAAAGGCAGUAUAUUUUUCUGAGUGAAAUAAAAGAAAGGAAGGAAGGAAGAAAGAAAAAGAAAGGAAAGAAGAAAGAAGACAAGCCAUAAAAUGACCCUGAGAUGCUCAAGAGGGAGCAGUAAGAAACAAAGUGCUUCUCUUGCCUUCAUGCCUCCAUGCUGGAUAUCCUCACUCCCAUCAGGAAAGAGAAGCCCAGCCAGGGCUGGAGAGGUUGAAGAAGGAGCGAGAAGCUGAGAAGUGGGAGUCUGGCCAUCUGGGAGGGACUGGGAAUACUUUCCACCCUGAGCAACGCUUCCUGGCAACGUCUGCCCACAGAGGGCUUGCCUGGUGUCCUCCCUUCCUCAGCCAUAGAGUCCUUUCCAAGCUCAUCCCAGUUUGCGCCACCCUCACUGGAGGUGCUCGGAGGUUCUGUACUAUUAGUGUAAGAGUGAUACCUGCAUACACAUGCCAUUCUCUCUGA
rnacentral:lncRNA from 1 species